rnacentral:rRNA from 1 species
AUUGUAGUCAUAUGCUUGUCUCAAAGAUUAAGCCAUGCAUGUCUAAGUAUAAGCAAUUAUACCGCGAAACUGCGAAUGGCUCAUUAUAUAAGUUAUAGUUUAUUUGAUAGCACCUUACUACAUGGAUAACUGUGGUAAUUCUAGAGCUAAAACAUGCUAAAAAUCCCGACUUCGGAAGGGAUGUGUUUAUUAGAUUAAAAACCAAUGCCCUUCGGGGCUGCUUGGUGAUUCAUAAUAACCUCUCGAAUCGCACGGCCUUGCGCCGGCGAUGGUUCAUUCAAAUUUCUUCCCUAUCAACUUUCGAUGCGAAGGUAUUGUCUUCGCAUGGUUACAACGGGUAACGGAGGGUUAGGGCUCGACCCCGGAGAAGGAGCCUGAGAAACGGCUACUACAUCCAAGGAAGGCAGCAGGCGCGCAAAUUACCCAAUCCCGACACGGGGAGGUAGUGACAAUAAAUACUGAUACAGGGCUCUUUUGGGUCUUGUAAUUGGAAUGAGUACAAUUUAAAUCCCUUAACGAGGAACAAUUGGAGGGCAAGUCUGGUGCCAGCAGCCGCGGUAAUUCCAGCUCCAAUAGCGUAUAUUAAAGUUGUUGUGGUUAAAAAGCUCGUAGUUGAACCUUGGGCCUGGCUGGCCGGUCCCCCUCACCGGGUGCACUGGUCCGGCCGGGCCUUUCCCUCUGUGGAACCGCAUGCCCUUCACUGGGUGUGCCGGGGAAACAGGACUUUUACUUUGAAAAAAUUAGAGUGCUCCAGGCAGGCCUAUGCUCGAAUACAUUAGCAUGGAAUAAUAGAAUAGGACGUGUGGUUCUAUUUUGUUGGUUUCUAGGACCGCCGUAAUGAUUAAUAGGGACAGUCGGGGGCAUCAGUAUUCAAUUGUCAGAGGUGAAAUUCUUGGAUCUAUUGAAGACUAACUACUGCGAAAGCAUUUGCCAAGGAUGUUUUCAUUGAUAAGGAACGAAAGUUAGGGGAUCGAAGACGAUCAGAUACCGUCGUAGUCUUAACUAUAAACUAUGCCGACUAGGGAUCGGACGGUGUUUAUACUUGACCCGUUCGGCACCUUUCGAGAAAUCAAAGUGCUUGGGCUCCAGGGGGAGUAUGGUCGCAAGGCUGAAACUUAAAGAAAUUGACGGAAGGGCACCACCAGGGGUGGAGCCUGCGGCUUAAUUUGACUCAACACGGGGAAACUCACCAGGU